UACGAAGGGGGCUAGCGUUGUUCGGAAUUACUGGGCGUAAAGCGUGCGCAGGCGGCUAUCCAAGUCAGUGGUGAAAGCCCGGAGCUCAACUCCGGAAUUGCCAUUGAAACUGUUUAGCUCGAGUACGAGAGAGGUGAGUGGAAUUCCCAGUGUAGAGGUGAAAUUCGUAGAUAUUGGGAAGAACACCGGUGGCGAAGGCGGGUCUCUGGACAGUUCCUGACGCUGAGGCACGAAGGUCAGGGGAGCAAACGGG
rnacentral:rRNA from 1 species